rnacentral:rRNA from 1 species
GACAGAGGGGGCAAGCGUUGCUCGGAAUUACUGGGCGUAAAGGGCGCGUAGGCGGCCUUCUAAGUCGAACGUGAAAUCCCCGGGCUCAACCCUGGAAAGCCGGCCGAUACUGUCGGACUAGAGUCCGGAAGAGGCGAGUGGAAUUCCCGGUGUAGCGGUGAAAUGCGCAGAUAUCGGGAGGAACACCAAUGGCGAAGGCAGCUCGCUGGGACGGUACUGACGCUGAGGCGCGAAAGCGUGGGGAGCAAACAGG